UCCCUCCUUCUCUCUCUCUCUCUCUCUCUCUCUCUCUCUGGGAUCGAAAGAAAGAGCAAGGAAGGAAUCGGGAUAGACAGAGGUCGGAAGGGGCUAACGGCGUUCGGCCUUAGGAAUCGGAGGAGGCAACGGGAUCGGGGUCUUUGGCCGGUUGCAGGUUGGGUGAAGGGAGGAAAUUGGCUUCUGGAGUUGAUGGACGUCGGGCAGAGAAGAAGAGGGAGGAGGCUGGGUCGGAGCUCUCGUGUGGGAAGAGGAGUGAAUGGGGAAGAAAAAGCUUGCGGGAUUUGAGCGUGGGAAGAGAAGUGACCGAAUGAGAGCUUCGCUCCCAUUUUAAAGGCGCAAAAAGGCAACGAUGGAGGUGAGUAUGGGACGACUGCAACGGCGCCAAAUUGCAGGCCUGGGCAAUGUAGCAAGCGGCGGGGAUUUGACUGUAGCAAGACUUCCGUAUGGGUUUUGGAUUUCAACAGGCUCAGCAAACGAAGCUUAUGGAACAGCAACACCAACACAAAUUGCAAAUGCAGGAACAAGAGUUGUGACCACCAAGACAUCAUCAGUGGCAGCAAAGUGCUUGUGUAAGAAAAUCUGUAUCGUUGGAUUCUGGGGCAAAUCUCAGUAGACAAGUGAAAUUAUGGGGCUGUUUGGAAGCAGGAUUUAGGCUGAAUUUGAGGCGGUUUUUUAGUGAAAUCCAGCCAAACGGCCUAAAAUGCAAAACCAAAUCUCACGGCGGAAAAUUCCGCCUUUUCAUGCUAAAUGUCGGAUUUCAAAAAUCCUGUUUUUUUGUCGGAUUUACGAAAUCUAUUGGCAUGAGAGUAAGAGUCCACUCAUUAAAUCCGCUCUAUAGCCAAAAAGUCACACGGGAUUUAAUAGGAUUUAUCAUGAAUGUUACCAAACAGUUUUCAGGAUUCAGACACCUCUGGAUUUCCGAAUUCCAGAUUUAGAGGAUUUAUGAAAUCCAACUAAAUUCAAAUCCUGGGUGCUACCAAACAGCCCCUAAAGAUGCUUUUGGAUGAUUUAGUAUCCUGGAUCCAUCUCCUUACUAUGGACAGGAAAUUGUGCAGCCCAAAUUCUGGUUAUUAGAUAUGAGUAAUGGACUGGGCCGAAGGUUGAUUAUCUUCAAAUGAAGGGCUGGCCGUUUAACUGGAUUUAACAGACAAUGCAGAAACUUUAGUGCUCAGGCGCUGAGACCUUCAUCUGUAAAACCAGUUUCCACUCUUUUCGCCACAGCACUAAGCUUCAAUUCAAGUUCAAUCACUAGGAAUACUUGGUAGUCCAUCAAUUGAUUCUCUCAUAGUUCGCCAAGGGCUGUCAGACAAGAUGAAGAACAUCUUGUGAAGAUUCGACAUUCCUCAGCACAAAAAUGACCGAAUUUUUUAGGGAUUAAUUUAGAGUAUAUUCUUGUUGGGAGGGGUUUCUUUAUGCAAUCGUACCAUGACGAAAUCUCUAGGAUUACAAAUUUUGCGGCAACGAUGUUGAUCAGCUAAGUUGCUUGCAAUGAUUGUUUGAAAAGGCUAGCUUAUUUUUAACAUUCUCGAGCAUGGAGGUAAGUUGUUCUGUUAAAUCUAUUGCUGCCUUACUUUUACAAUUGGGCAAAACAACAAGAUCCAAUGUAUGAUUGGGUUUUUUGGUGUUUACUAUACUGGAGGGGGAGCGACAUAGUGCGCUUUGUCAUGGAAUUGUAUGCAAAUUCUGCCUGACCUAACACUUCAUCACAUGCUUAGGGUUAUCUUUGACUAAGCAACGUAAUUUGUUAUCGAGCAUCCUAUUUACUUCUUCAAUGUCCAUUUGACUGACGGUGAUAUGCUCAAAUUUAAUUGAAGUUCUGUAUGCAUGCACCUUCAUAAUUCCCUUCAAAAGUGACUAAUAAAUUUUAUGUUUUGAUCUGAAUUGAGACUUCUUGGAAUGUUGUGAAAACGAACUAUGCUGUAAAAGAAUAAAUGAGCUAUA